rnacentral:lncRNA from 1 species
AAUCACUUGUCAGAAUCUUCCUAAACAUCGUGUCGGAUUCAGGAAAUGGAGGAAAGACAGCUCCAGCGUUUGAUAGGUGUGAAUGCUUUUGGGUUAACUUUCUCCUUUAUUGCUUCGUAGAAAGAAGCAGCUCCUUUGCCGACAGGGGAGAUGGCAGCAACCAAGGGAAAUGAAAGAGGAGGACUGAACAUACUGCAAAGGGAGGAAAAAAGGGAAUGGCCAAACAAAAACGGAGCCAGCUCUGCCUCCAGCCCUCCUCACCACCUUGCAGCUAGAGCCGCCCAGGAAACACUGAGAUGCUGCAGUGCUAACCAUCUUCAUACAGUCUGUCCUUGUGCUUCAAGGCACCGUUGGGAGCCCAAGGUAAAUGGGUCAGUUAAUGUGAAGUCACGUACUAAACAGUGCCAUCAUAUUCUUAGUGUGAUGCAAAAGCAAAUACAAGCACUGCAGUCUUUGUGCUGCUUUUGGAGUAGGGACAUAAAAAAAGAAACAUGACAAUUAACAAUAAAGGCAUGUAAAAGAUGCA